rnacentral:rRNA from 1 species
AUUGAACGCUGGCGGCAGGCUUAACACAUGCAAGUCGAGCGAGCGGAGCACGGGAGAGUAAUGUCGGGGAAACCGUCAGAGGGAGGGGGAUAACUACGGGAAAGUGUAGCAAACACCGCAUACUCACAGAUGUGCCGAGAUGGGUAUAGCUAGUAGGUUGGGUAAUGGCUGACCUAGGCGACGAUCCCUAGCUGGUCUGAGAGGAAGACCAGCCACACUGGAACUGAGACACGGUCCAGACUCCUACGGGAGGCAGCAGUGGGGAAUAUUGCACAAUGGGCGCAAGCCUGAUGCAGCCAUGCCGCGUGUGUGAAGAAGGCCUUCGGGUUGUAAAGCACUUUCAGCGAGGAGGCGUUACUCGCAGAAGAAGCACCGGCUAACUCCGUGCCAGCAGCCGCGGUAAUAC